UACGUAGGGGGCAAGCGUUAUCCGGAAUUAUUGGGCGUAAAGAGCUCGUAGGCGGUUUGUCGCGUCUGCCGUGAAAGUCCGGGGCUCAACUCCGGAUCUGCGGUGGGUACGGGCAGACUAGAGUGAUGUAGGGGAGACUGGAAUUCCUGGUGUAGCGGUGAAAUGCGUAGAUAUCUGGAGGAACACCGGUGGCGAAGGCGGCAUCCUGGACCGACACUGACGCUGAGGCGCGAAAGCUAGGGGAGCAAACGGG
rnacentral:rRNA from 1 species